rnacentral:rRNA from 1 species
GACGAACGCUGGCGGCGUGCUUAACACAUGCAAGUCGAACGGAAAGGCCCGGCUUUUGUGGGGUGCUCGAGUGGCGAACGGGUGAGUAACACGUGAGUAACCUGCCCUUGACUGUGGGAUAACUUCAGGAAACUGGGGCUAAUACCGGAUAGGAGCUCCUGCUGCAUGGUGGGGGUUGGAAAGUUUCGGCGGUUUGGGAUGGACUCGCGGCUUAUCAGCUUGUUGGGUGGGUAGUGGCUUACCAAGGCUUUGACGGGUAGCCCGCCUGAGAGGGUGAACGGGCCCCAUUGGCCUGCGGUAGGGACCAGAAUCCUACCGGAGGCAGGAGGGGGGAAUAUUGCGCAACGGGGCGGAGUCUGAUGUAAGAACCCCCGGUUCGGGAAGACCGGCUUUGGGGUGAAAACCGAUUUCGACUGUGACGAAGCGUGAGUGACGGUAAUGGGUAAAGAAGCACCGGCUAACUACGUG